GGUGAACGCUGGCGGCGUGCCUAAUACAUGCAAGUCGAGCGAACAGACGAGGAGCUUGCUCCUCUGACGUUAGCGGCGGACGGGUGAGUAACACGUGGAUAACCUACCUAUAAGACUGGGAUAACUUCGGGAAACCGGAGCUAAUACCGGAUAAUAUAUUGAACCGCAUGGUUCAAUAGUGAAAGACGGUUUUGCUGUCGCUUAUAGAUGGAUCCGCGCCGCAUUAGCUAGUUGGUAAGGUAACGGCUUACCAAGGCAACGAUGCGUAGCCGACCUGAGAGGGUGAUCGGCCACACUGGAACUGAGACACGGUCCAGACUCCUACGGGAGGCAGCAGUAGGGAAUCUUCCGCAAUGGGCGAAAGCUUGACGGAGCAACGCCGCGUGAGUGAUGAAGGUCUUCGGAUCGUAAAACUCUGUUAUUAGGGAAGAACAAAUGUGUAAGUAACUAUGCACGUCUUGACGGUACCUAAUCAGAAAGCCACGGCUAACUACGUG
rnacentral:rRNA from 1 species